GACUGUGACGGUCCUCGUGUGUUCUGUCCCCAGACGAGUUUGGCGCACCGACUCGUGGCGCGAGAAGGCUCGGCCGCUCCGCUUCCCCUCUACACGUCGCCCUCCCUGCCCAACAUCACGCUGGGCCUGCCUGCCACCGGUCCUUCCUCUGUAAGUCACCCCCGUAGGUCCCUUUGGCGUGGGGUGGAGGUGGUGGGUCCGUCUGCCUGAGCAUCCCCGGCUGUGCUUUCCAGGGCGCGGCGGGCCAGCAGGACGCCGAGAGACUCGCCCUCCCCGCCCUCCAGCAGAGGCUCUCCCUUUUCCCGGGCACCCACCUCACUCCCUACCUGAGCACCUCGCCCUUGGAGCGGGAUGGAGGGGCAGCACACAGCCCUCUUCUACAGCACAUGGUCCUCCUGGAGCAGCCCACGGCACAAGCGCCGCUCGUCACAGACUGGUAUCUUUCAGGCCUGGGAGCUCUGCCCCUCCACACACAGUCCCUGGUUGGUGCGGACCGGGUGUCCCCUUCCAUCCACAAGCUGCGGCAGCACCGCCCACUGGGGCGGACCCAGUCAGCCCCGCUGCCCCAGAACGCCCAGGCCCUGCAGCACCUGGUCAUCCAGCAGCAGCAUCAGCAGUUUCUGGAGAAACAUAAGCAGCAGUUCCAGCAGCAGCAACUGCACAUGAACAAGAUCAUCCCCAAGCCAAGCGAGCCAGCCCGGCAGCCAGAGAGCCACCCCGAGGAGACGGAGGAGGAACUCCGCGAGCACCAGGCUCUGCUGGACGAGCCCUACCUGGACCGGCUGCCGGGGAAGGAGGCGCACGCACCGGGCGGCGUGCAGGUGAAGCAGGAGCCCAUCGAGAGCGACGACGAAGAGGCAGAGCCCACACAGGAGGUGGAGCCGGGCCAGCGCCAGCCCAGUGAGCAGGAGCUGCUCUUCAGACAGCAAGCUCUCCUGCUGGAGCAGCAGCGGAUCCACCAGCUGAGGAACUACCAGGCAUCCAUGGAGGCUGCCGGCAUCCCCGUGUCCUUCGGCGGUCACCGGCCUCUGUCCCGGGCACAGUCCUCACCGGCAUCCGCCACCUUCCCCGUGUCUGUGCAGGAGCCCCCCGCCAAGCCGAGGUUCACGACAGGCCUCGUGUACGACACGCUGAUGCUGAAGCAUCAGUGCACCUGCGGGAGCAGCAGCAGCCACCCCGAGCACGCCGGGAGGAUCCAGAGCAUCUGGUCCCGCCUGCAGGAGACCGGCCUCCGAGGCAAAUGCGAGUGCAUCCGUGGACGGAAGGCCACCCUGGAGGAGCUGCAGACCGUGCACUCGGAAGCCCACACCCUCCUGUACGGCACGAACCCCCUCAACCGGCAGAAACUGGACAGCUCGCUGGCCUCUGUGUUCGUCCGGCUCCCCUGCGGUGGUGUUGGGGUAAGUGUUCCUUUAAUGUGUAAAUAAUGUCCUGUUUCUUCUCCAGUCCCAGUGGUCACAGAAAUCGCAGCCUCUCUUCCCUCAAAGUAAGUAAUUGCUACCAGGUGUUUCCCACACACAGGGUCUGGCGGGCCGGGGCUGCCCAUGUGCGGCUUCAAAGGCCGCGUGAGCCAAGAGCGUUUUGACCGCAGACACGGGCACCUUUCUCUGAGGAAGGUCAUCUGGUGCUCGCGGCUCGGGCUCUGGGGAGUAGUGGCUCUUGCUGUAAGGAACAGGAGAAACAGGACCCUGUGUGCAGCCAGCGUCUCAUCCCCUUCUGGGUCUGCAGCAGUCAUCUGCUCACAUCAGGCCAUGAGUAUGGCAUGGGCAGGACGCGUGUUUCCUUAUUCCGUACCCAGUUUCCGCCCGAAGCUAUAGGUGGGGCUCCCAGUGCAGUGACCGUGAUUCUCAUGGGCCACAUGGAGUCUGUAGGGCCGCUCGCUGGGCGGGGCCGGCUACGAGCUGCUGAUACAUAGACCUGGCCUGGGCACGUGAAUUCACAAGGACUUUGCAGUCUGGGCAUCUGCCCAUCGGUCCACACAGGAGUGGUCAUGUGCAAUCAAACUUUUCAGUAACAAAAAGGUUCUCCCCUGGCCCCCAACCUCCUUGAUGCAGCCUGGGAAGAGGUGGCAAUAGCAAGGGCUGCCGUGAGAAGGUGAGGCUGAGCCUCCCAGCGGUUUUGGGCCAUCGUGGUCCUGCAGUGCCUCAAAUCCCCACAGGGUUACAGGCAGGGAGGACAGGCGCCCGUGGACGGUAGGAGCCGCUGCCGCCGAAACAGCGCAGCGUGUGUGUGAUCACAGAUCGCAGGGCGAAGCUCAAGGUCUGGAUUCUGUUAUGGAAAUGAAACAAAAUUGUUUUCUUCCUGAGUUUUUAUAAAAAUCACUGCUUUGAAAAUUAUCCCGUCAGAAAGAGAAUAAACGGCAUUUAUUCAUACCACCACCAUGCCUCCUAGAGUUAUUUUAUUUUGUAUUGUAAAUAGGCUGCAAUCUCUUAAUUUGGGGCAAGUUUUUGGCCAGACUUGAAAAGAAUUGAAUUUGCACUGCCCUGCAGCCAGCACGCCUGUGCAAGGCAGAAUUUAUCGUUUGCAAAUGAAAGCUGAGUGCAGGCUCAGAGCUGAGGGGGUGAGCCCAGCAGCCCCCCACCAAGUGUUCAGUCCAGAUCUGAGGCAC
ensembl:lincRNA